rnacentral:lncRNA from 1 species
GCCCCUUUAGCCUACAUAAGACUUAUCAUUGGUGCAAUAAUUGAAAUAGUUGGAAGGCGAAAACAAAUAUGAAGUAAUUUCAUUUAAAUUCUGUAUGUAUUUUCAAGUCAUUAAACACACCAUUAGUUUCAUGUUGUGUCUUUCAACUCAUAAUUCUGCACCUUCAUAAAAUUCAAUGCUCACCAAAAAAAAUUGCUGGAUCAAAAAUAG